CAUAUCUCCCAAGGCUGACAAGCAUUGCCUGAAACAGGUUCAGAUUCCAAUUGAUCGUACGCUGAACUGCAAUGUUUUCACUUCCUUCUCAUAGAAAUGUAGCAGAAGAACUCUGAUAUUCCUUCAUCCUUCUUCAAGAGCACCCUCUGCUUCCUGGGUACUCCUGGCCUGGUCCCUAGCAUCUAAGGGAGGAGCGAGGUGCAGCAACUGUGAGCAGAACAGACGGAGUGGACAAUUUACAAGUACAUGGAGGUUCAGGACCGCCGGAGUGAUGCAAUGUGACCCUCCCCGAGCCACCCCUCUCUAUGGAAGACCCACUUACCACCUCGUGCCGCAUCUCAGACUGCGCCACACUUUCAGAGAUGGAUGCCUGAAGGAAUGUGGAGAAACAGACACACAGAGAGAGCCUUUCCCCUUGAAGACCAUCACCUCCCUGACAGAUGAGGGAGACGUAGUCCCAGAGAGGCAAUAUUCUCCAAAGUUCCACACAACCUGGAGCUUCUGCUUCAAAUGCCUCAGAGUCAGCAUUUCCAUGGAAGAGUCUCCCUAGGUUGCUCAAGCUAGUCUUGGGCUGCUGGGCUCAAAUCAUCUCCCUGCCUCAGCCUCACACGUACCUGUGACCAUUGGUGCGCUCUGAAGUAUUCUCAGCCUCACUAGGCUGCUGUCCCAAAGGCAGGCCCAAUCUGCAAGCUGAUUUAGAAGUAUCUGGUAGAUUUGUAGGCCCCUCAUCUGCCCUUUCUUGCUGUUGUUUGGGAGUUGGGAGUUUGCCUGUUUGUGUUUUGAUUGCCAAACUAGAAAUCCACUGGGGCCCCUCUCCUGUCAGGGGAGCUUUCUGCCCUGAAAUUACAGAUUCAGCCUUCUUUUUGACUUUUUUUUUUAAAGAUAAGGUCUCUGUCUUUUUAACCCAAAGCAGGUCCUGGAUUACAAUUCUCCUGUCUCAUUCUUUCUGUGAUUCCAGACCUGAACUCCCAGUCCUUGCCUUGACCUAUGUUUAGGUUCUAAGCUCAGUGUCCCCAUUCUGAGGGUUAGGGUCAUGGAAGCAAAAGAUCUUUAGGCAAAAGCAUGGGGCCAGAUGGGUGUCCAUGAUGCCAUGUGGUAAGGGAAGCUUUCCAAGCCCUGUGGACAAACUCUGGGGGAAAAACGAAAACGGGUCACAUAUUUUUCUGAACCCUGCAAAAGUUUCAAAAUAAAAGCCUCCAAAAGCAAUAGGCUAGAGAUGGAGGUGACCUGCAUGGGGGCAGGGUGGGCCAUAAGAAUGUGGAGAGGGAGGAGGCAGAGGCCUGGGAUGAGAAGGGACUCUUUGGGGAGGAAGGCUAGGCUGUACCGGUUGGUUAGAGCACUCUCACCUCUGGAUGACAUACUGUCACAGGCUCCUCCCAGACCCCAAGGGUCCUCUCUAGCACUGCAGGGGUUAAUGUCUGGCACAUCAGCAGGCACCUGGUCACAACUGCUGACCACACAGUUGUGCUUGAGGAUUCUGAACGUGACUCAUGGCGAGAGCCGUGUCUUUGGCAGGCAUGGACUCCAGCAUGGCUCCAAGAGCAUUCGUUUCUGUACAUGGCCUCGUUGAUACAUAACUGACCAAGCUCUGCAGAGCCUGGUGUGGCCUCACUCUGAGGCAGGUGGAAGGUCGGUGGAAGGUCAAACAAGCAGUAAGUACAGCUCCAAGUCAGGGCCUGGGAGAUGUUGUACACUGUUGAAAAUAAAACAGGAGAGGGGAAACAGGAGAGGAAAGGGCACCAGGUCACUUGGAGCAGGUUCAGGAAGGCCUUCUAAGUCACACUGGGGAGUCUGAGCUCUAUCUGGAGGGCCCAGAGAAGCAGGGGUUGUGGCCUUUGUGGGAUACUAAGGCCGUGUGAUCCUGUUUCUAUGUUGUAAAAUUGGAAGAGAGUCGUGAGAGACGGGAGAUGGCUCAGAAGGUAAAGUGUCUGCCACAUAAGCUUGAGGACCUGGGUUCAGGACCCCAACACCCAUAUAAAAGCUAAAUGUAACUGUACUGGGCAGGGGGCAGAGGCAGGCAGAUCCUCUGGGGGCUUCACUGGACAGUCAGUCUUGGGGAAGAUGUGCUAUCUCGACAAAACAGAACAAACAAAAUAAAACAAAACCACAUAAAACACAAAUGAAGCAAAAACUAAAAAAAAAAAAACAUGAAAAAGAAAAUGUAUUUGGGGUGUAAUUUGAACUUCAGGGCAAUUGACCAAAAUAAUGAGUUUAAAUGAAAUAGAAAAGCCUUGAGUUACCUUAUAACACGGCUUUAUCAUUUUGUCAGUCUGGGAAGAAUUUGUGUCCUUCUCGGUACCCUAGGCUAGCCUCGGCCUUCUGAGAGCAGAUAUUUCAGGACCUUCACACCAUGUCUGGCAUUUUCCGGUUUCAAAAGAGGACAUUGUUGGAGUGAUCUAGUCUUUCACCGGUGGAAACUGGAAGCGCUCAGCUUAUUUGUGCUAUUACACAGGAUUCUCAGGGCUGAGUGUGGAGGCAUAUACCUGCCAUGCUAGCACUCGGGAAGAUCUUGAGUUCAAAGUCAUUCUCAGCUCAAUGGUAAGUUCAAGACCAGUGUGAGCCACAUAAUAAGAUCCUAUCCCAAAAUAAGGAAAAGAAAAAAAAAAAGGAAGAAUAUUCUUAAGGUAAGCAUAGCUGAGUCGUCGUUAGGUCAAAGGGCGUGUGUGUUUAAUUAGAUACGAGUGACCAAUGUUUGCUUCAUAAGUGAAUUUUCUUGGCUGUCCCUCCUCACUAUCACUUCCCGUCAUCACCUAAAACAUUCUGAAACAGGAUAGGUUCAGGGUCUAUCUUCGCUUUUGUGCUUCUCUGGAAGACUGAGCAGAGUCUAAAGUAUUUCCUGCCUGGUCCUUUCUCCUGCCACCGCCCUAUCUGUGGCUGGGGACCCUUUCCUGCCAGCUCUUUAAUCUCCACCCCUGUGAACUCAGGGUGAAGUUGUGUGCUGGCUAUUUCUUCAUGGCCCGUGGUGAAUAAGUGUAUUCCCAGUCUCCUGGUUGAUUGCGAUCGUCAUCCUUAAUUUCCCCUGGCAGAAUGUUCUCAAUUUCCCACAGUAACUGGUCCACCUAUUCAUUUCUGGUUUCUAGGCAGCCUGGGGGCUGAGGAGGCUCCUUGUCAGCAGGUUAAAGGCGGGUGCUCGCUCAGCCACUGGCUGUGUCCCGUGCCCUGUGCCACCCUCGUGCUGCCCCUCGGAAGACUCAGCAAACCUGUUCCUUGGCCUGUGGACUCCACCAGGAGGGAUACUGCCUCGCCUUUCACGGCCAACCCUGGGAGCUCCGGCUUUGGUUCUCCCUGGACACCCAGUUCCUUUUAAGGAGUUAUGCAUCUUAUACGUUCCUUAAUCCCCCGACUAAAUUUACCAGCUGUCUCUUGCAGCCAAGGCAUUGGCUAAAUUAAACUCCACAGUGGUGGACACGGUGUAUCA